GGGCCUUUAGCUCAGUCGGUAGAGCGCCACGCUUACACCGUGGAUGUCGUCGGUUCGAUCCCGGCAGGGCCCA
rnacentral:tRNA from 1 species